rnacentral:lncRNA from 1 species
CUCUUUUUUAUUUUAAAGUCAAAGAACUAUUAUUAUAUCACAUUGUUAUAGUGGAUAAAAUUUAGUAAUCAUACGAUACGAUGAAAUAAAUGGUGUGAUAGAUAUAAUUAACUAGACAUGACAUGAUUUAUUCAUGUUUGCAGGAGUGGAGAAAGUAAGUUUAGAAGAAGAAAAGAACUUGCUGACAGUGAUAGGAGAGGGAAUAGAUGCAGUGGAGCUGGUUAAUAUAAUUAGGAAAAAAGUGGGAUUUGCUAAAAUAGUGAACCAAGGUCCAGAGCCAGUUGAGAAAAAAGAAGAAAAGAAAAAAGAUGAUCCAAUAGUGGUUAAUUCAUGUAAUUGUCAUAGUAAUUAUAAUAAUAGCAUAAUUCCUAGGGUUGAAAUGUGGGAAGUUAAUCCUUAUAAUAACUACUCAUGUUUUCCAUUUUGAUGAUGAGACUUCUUUGAGGAAAAAUAAGAAGAAUUAUCAUAUUCUUUUUGUUUCAUUUCAUGUAAUACAAUAUUAUUAUUUGGAGAGUCAAACAAAUUUUCUGUUCAUGGUGUUUCAUUAUCUCAUUAGAAUUAAUUAAUAUGAUAAGGAUUAGUUUCUUUUGUUUGUACUUAUUCAUGUUGAGAAUUUGUAUUUUUAUUAUUAAGGAAAGGUUGUAGUUUAAUUAGUGGUAAGAAAAUAACAACUUAUACUUCCUCCAUCCCAAUUUAUAAGUUAUCAGAAAAAAAGAAAAAACUUUUGAAAUUUAAAUAGUCUCAAACAAGUCAUUAAUGUUUGAAAAGUGUCAUCUCUAGAAUGGACUGAAAAGAAAGUGACAUAUAAUUAAGAUUAAAAAAUAUACCUUUUAUAUAAUUUCUAAAUACAUAAAUUUUACUUUAAAAUAAUCUUAAAAUUUGAUGUUUAAAUUCACACCAAAAAUAAAUUUGUUCAUUGCUCUGAAUUGCAUCACAUAAAUAUAUUAAAGUGGAAGGGGCGGAGUAGUAUAUUAUAUCAUUAAUAAAUUUGUAUCGGCUUUGUACGAUCAUAAAAAGUAUAUAAUUUUGAUGACUUGAGAAACUCUGUGGAUGGAUAAGAGUACACAGAUAUUUUUGUUUUGUUAGACAAUUUUAUGGUGUGGGAGUUGCACUUCCAAAAUCCUAAUAAUUAAAAAUUGUUAAUAUUAUUCUUUUUAAAUUAAAAAUAAAGAUAAUAGUGACAUAUAAAAUAUAAAAUGAAAAUGAGAAAAGUAUUAGUCUUCUCUAGGAGAGUCAUGUCAAUUUUGUGUUAACAUAUGACAAAUUAUAUAAUUAUUAUUUAGCCUACGAGUCAUCUUUGAAUUAUUCAAACGGGGUCUUAAUUUUAGGACCAUUAGAUAUUUAUUUAGGAAGUCUCAUAAGUAGAAAGAUAAUAUACUUUUUCCGUUUAUUUUUAAUUAAAAAUAUAUAUUUAUUUUUACUUAUUUGGUUUAAAAAAUCAAAAUGUAAUUUACUAUUUUAUACUUAUUUUAUCUUUGUUAUUAUGUACUCCUAUUAGGUAUAUGGCAAAGUCGAAUUGUAACUUUUUUUCACAUCAAUAAUUAAUGAAGACAAAGUUUAAUGGGAAAAAAAGUAUAUCCGUUCACAUUUAAAUGACGUACAACAUGAACGGAGGGAAUAUUUGAUAAGGAAAAGAAGAAGAAAACCUAAUUAAUACGUAAAAUUUUGUGUUUGAAAACUUCCCUUUUUUGUUUACUUUUCAAAAAAUCAUGGUUACUAAUCUUCAGGUAAAUUUCCAAGUAUUUAUAAUCCAAUCUUUCAGUAAAAUUACCAUGAAAUUAUUGACUUGACUUUACAAUUAAUAUAUGUGAGAAAGUAGUUUUACAAUCUUGAUUCGACGUAAUUUAUGAUUUUGUCUACACAAUUUUAGAAUUUUGUGGAAGAAGAAGAACUUAAGCAUCCAAAAAAAAAGAGAUCAAAUUGACACUCAUCACCAGGUAUGUAAUAGGAAAAAUUACAAAAGUAUACUACUUAAGACUUCUAUUAACAAAAUAUCAAUAUACUAUAUUUAAUUACAAACUAAGUUUUUAAAUUACAUACAUAACAAAACAUUUAAUUUUUUAUUUUACUUAAAAAAAAAAUUACCGAAUUUUCUCUCUCUGACUCUUAGUAGUUUGUGUCAUAUUAUGUGGAGUGUAAUUAGGUAUUUAAUUUUACCAUAUAUUCUCUCUCAUUAAACAGACUCACAUCCACAUGUUUGUUUAUUCCUCUUUUAUUUCCUUUUUUAUGUUUUGUAGUAAUUUAUUGGGAUUUCUUUUAUAUAAAGAUUUGUGGUAGCAAUAAAGUUGUUACAGUACUAUAAUUGAGGUAUAGUUCCAAGAAAUAUUACAAAACCCUUUUCACACGUUUCAUUAUUUUUUUAUUUUCCUUUUUACGUUUUGUAGUCAUUUUCUCUGUCCAUAUUGAUUUAUUCCUUUUAUUUAAAGAUUUUUAUGAUACCAAUAAAAUUAGUACAAUUAUCUAUAAUUGAGUUAUUUCCAAGAUAUAUUAGGAUUCCUUUUUUCAACGGUAUAUUGAGAUAAUCCUUCAAUUUUAUUCAUCCAUAUCUCUUAAACCUUACAUCUUCUUCACUUAAUCGCUUGUCAUUCCAAUUAACCAGAGGCCUCACCAUAAUUUCUAACGCCUAACUAUCCAUCUUCUUCUUAUCAGAUUCUAACGCCUAACAAAUUUUUUACUUGAACAGAAUAUGUUAAUUCUGGUAAUAGUCCAAACCAAAAUAUUAACUUUUUAUAGUUUUUUUUACAAUUCACCGUUAUAGGUUGGUAUAUAAUUCAAACUAUUUGAAUUACUUUAUACAACCAUUAUUAUGUCAAUUGGUUUUAGUAUUACUCAAAUAUUAUACCAAAUCUAUUUUAUUUGUGCUUAUUUGUUUUCAUUCAAUGUUUUAGUUUGCUAUAUAUACCAUUAAGUUUACCAAGUUUUGUGUAGUUUUUAUUAUAAGAAAACCAUUUUUUUUACAUUAACAGAGUGAGUUUUUUUUCUGGUAUCAUUCAAACCAUGAUUUUAACUUUAAGUAGUUUUUUCAAAUUUAUUGUCUUAGGUUGCUAUAUAAUGCAAACAUAUGAUCCCUACAUACGACCAUUAUUAUGUUCCUAUAUGUUUACCAAUUUUCGUUCCUAUUUUAUCCUAAGUUCACCAAAUUUUUCCUUUAACAGAUUGUAUUUAUUAUGGUUCCAGAUUAAACCAAUGUAUUAACACACAUCAUUUUUUCAAUAGUCCUAUAUUUUUCAAAUAAUUGGUUUAAUCAACUUUUUACAUUAACAUAGUCUAUUAUUUCUGGUAACCAAGUUCUUCACAUUAACUAGUUUUGAAUUAUUUUUAUUUUAGGCUGGAAUUAUACCAACCUCACUUGCUCAUUCACAACACGAUUAUUAAAUGAGUUCAUGAUAGCCAUUAAUAACAAUUACGAAUUCAAUAAUAUUAAUAAGAUACCAAAUAGGAAUCAACUUUCAAAUAAGGCUUCAUUGAGUUCAACUGUAUAAUCAAAUAAAUGAGUUCAACCGCAUAACUUUCUGCAAAGUAAAAAUAACAAUAAAAAUACUAUAACGCUAAUUCUUAUGUGAUUUGUUUGGGCAAGUCUUCUUGUUAUGCCCAGAUAAAUCGCAUUCACUAGAGGUGACUUUUCUUUUCUUCCCCUUUCUUUCGAUGAAUUCCUUUUUGCGAUCAUUUUUUGGUGGUCUGCUUAGUUGCUUUCUUGCAAUUGGUGGUAACAUUACCUCUUUCAAAACAUGUGAUGGAACAUCCCAAGUGCUUUCGCAAGGCAAGGGUUCUAUUGAUAUUGCAUAUAUAUCCUGAUAAUCCUUAUUAUUGUAAUAAGCUGAAUAGUAGUCAUCGCAAUAUUUAUUCCUAUAUCUGAUAGCAGCAAUUGCAUGACUACAAGGGAUCUCAUCAUGUUGAAAUCUGCCACAACGGCACAUACCAAUAUUCAGACAUACUGUAAACCUCUUUGCACCAUCUAUAAAUGUAUGAAGGUAUUCUAUUGAUGAGCAUACCUUAAAUUUAAAACAUACAUUAUCAAUAAUAAUACCAAAACAUACUAUGUAUAAUAUAGUAUUGUUAAUACUUACUAUGUAUUGAAUUACAAACUCUUAAUAAUUUGCUUACUACAUCCAUAUAUUUAAACAUCUUGGUAGUUACAUUGGUAAUUGAUGACACACAACUAAGUUUUGUUUUUGAUACACUCUAGUAAGUAACUAACUUUUUCACCAAUUACUGUACUAAUAAUAAAUUGGCAUACUUGUGGUAAUUCACACUAACAGGUAUACCAAAUAAUUUAUUAUACCAAUAAACAUAUCAUAAGUAUUCUGACCUUUAAGGUAUUACAAUUUAGACCAAAAAAUACAUCAACACAUACCACCAAUUCAUAGAAUCAACUAUUCGAGCAUAAAUACCAGAUCACAUACCAAUCAACAUAUUAUCAAUUUUUCAAUUUAUUAUAUACACCAAUUCAUAAAAUACACCAAAAAUGUAUCAAUAUAUUAUCAAUUUUUCAAUUUAUUAUAUAUACCAGUUUAGUUAAUUAAAAUACACCAAAAAUGUACCAAUAUAUUAUCAAUUUUUCAAUUUAUUAUAUACACCAAUUCAGAUAAUCAAAAUAAACCAAAUAAUGUACCAAAAUAUUAUUUUAUUGUUGUAUUUUAUAUAGCAAAUAAUACAACAAAAUACACAUAUACAUGCACCUACAAUCUUACUUGCAGUUGGUAUGUGUAACACCAUAUCACAUAUCAAAAGUAACUAUUGAUACAAUCUGUUAACAUACUCCAUUCAACAGACCAAUUAAAACACAUAAUUUAUGAUGUUAUUUUAAGUUGUUGCAUUAAUCAAUUAAACCUAAAAUUUUAAAAAAAAAUCUUAUUCGACACAUCAGAUUACAAUAAAAAUCAUAUGAAGUUAUUGUAAUUACACCAAAAUCGUUAACAUAAAACAGCGAAUCAAUACCAAAAGAAUAAAAACCCAGUUGUUGUGAAAAACUCAAUAUUAUUCCACAAACAAUUGAUAAAUUUUAAUAUUUAUUUAAUAAUUAAACCAGCAUAUUGAUGCUCCAGAACAUCAAACAAAUCAUAUGAAUUUACAUUCCACCAAAAUCGACAAAAUAAACCAAAAGAAUAACUACAAAAAAGAUUAAAAUCGAUAUGUUGUGAAAAAAUCAAAUACAACCACGAAAAAACCCACCAUAUGAACUACUUUUUAUCAAUUACCUGAUGAGUCUCAUCGCCCGCUGUGUUGAAUUAGAAUUAAAAAAUUAUUGGUAUGCAUUUUGGAUCGUCGAACUUAGUAGAGAAGAAGAGUUUUAUUUUUGUAUGAAACCUCUCUUCAUGGGAGAUAAUAUAACAAAUUGGAGUAAAUCAAGGAAAGUAAAAUAAUUGGAGAAAUUUAAGGGAUACGUGAUAUUUGUGGUUGACUUGGUAAACGUUUUAAAAAAUAAAAUUCUAGUUUUGAAAAAAAAUAUUGUUAUAUAAUUGAAAAAAAAGUAUUGCUAUAUUGAUGUAAUUAAGACUUUAAGUUGUAUAUUUAAAUUUUUUUCCCUAUGUAAUAUUUAGAGUUAUCGCAACCUUAGUCAUACAUCAUAGAAUAAAAAAUAUUCGCGCUGUUACCUAUCAAUAUUUAUAAUUUAAACCCUUAAAUGAUAUACAGAGACUAGGGGUGUACAUGGCCGAUUGGCCGGGUUGGUUCGAAUUUUUCAAAUAUCAAAUCAAAUCAUUUGUGUCGGAUUUUUAAUUUAUAAACCAAACCAAUAAAAUUCGGUUUUUUCAACCUUGGGUUUUUUUGGAUUUUUUCGGGAUUUUUGGAUGUUUUCGAUAAAGUAUUCAUACAAACAUAUAAUUUACUUGUACUUGAAAUAUUUCUUUAGUCCUACCAAAAUACAACUAUCUAAGGUGUUUCUUAAGAAAAUAACACAAAAUAUGAAGAUGUUUCUUAAAAAUAUAACACAAUAUGAUAUGAUUAAUGACACUAAAAUAUCCAACAAAAAUAAUAAUAAUGAAAUCGCGUAAAACAAAUAUUGCAAAUUAAUAAGUAAUAAUGACAAUGAUCAUAAUUUAAAAGUACUAAAUCAUGCUAAAAUUAAGUUUAAUAAGUAUUAGUUACAUUACUAAAUAUUUAAGGAAAAUUAAAAUUAGAUUAUGUAUUUUAAUUGUCUAAACCAAUGUAAAACUAAAGAACAAAUAUUCAAUUUUAUUGUCAUUCUUAGUGUUGAAUUGAUUUUCUUUUUGCAUUAGUAUUAAUUUGAUUUUGAUUUAAGUUUUAUUAUAAUUACCAACAUCUGUGGACUAUAAUAUUUAAUGGACCAUUUAGAAUUCUAAGUUUUAAACUUGAAAUAAUAUAUUAAAAGAUAAAACUAUGAAAAAGUAUAUAAGAAAUAUUUAAAAAUUAUAUCAAAGUAAAUAUUUUUAUGCAUAAAAUAAAAUUUUUAAAUUAUAUAUAUAAUGUCGGGUUAGUUUGAUCUCAGGUUGGUUUUUUUAGUUAAAACUAAACCAACCCAAAUAUAGUUAGGUUUUUUUUCAAUACCAAACCAAGUCAAACCAAACCACUAGUCAAGUUUUUUUUUUCGAUUCAACUCGAUUUAUAAUUUGAUUUGAUUUUCAAUUUUCGAUUCGAUUUUACACACCCCUAACGGAAACUUUCAUUUGCAUACCAUCUAUAUACAGUGUGUAUUUGUCUAUGAUUGAAAAGAGAAAAUUUUUAACAAGCUAUUGAGAGAGAUGUUAAAAGACCAUGUAAUUAUUUGGUUAAGAAAAUAGAAAUCACUACAUAAAAAAUGAUCUUUAGCGGCAAUUAGUUAGCAAUUGCCGCUAAAUAUUUAAAUUAGGAGAUGAUUUAAAUCUCCAAAGUCUCACUAAGGGAGAGUCCCCAGUAAAGCCUUUAAUUUUCUUCCCAAGUUUUAGCAGCCAAGGAUAGUACCCCAGCUGUUAUAGGAUAACCAUGUCAAUAAGUUCUGAGUUUCAUCAAGUACUGCUCAGCAAGAAAAAGAUGAUUAUCUAUGUGCCAUGAUAAUUUUAUAGUGGCAACAAUGCUCUUUGACAAUUAGAGUGACAAACUUCCAGAAUAGUCUCGUCUUUCUACUUUUUUAGUUACCAUUCUUUUCUGCUUAACUUCUAUUUAAAUGUCGUAUUAUUCAUAUAUUGAUAUAGGAUGCAACAUGAGUUUGAGGUGACUACAAAACAGGCCAUCUUUAUGGAUUCAAGUAUAAGUGAUACAAUUCGUACAUGCAUUGUGCUGGGUAACCAUCGUGCUGCCAUGAAAGUCAAAACAGAAUUUAAGGUCUGUACCGUCUCUUUUGGCUCACAGUGAUGAUGUACUUCUAUUUCUCUGUCUUAUUAGUGAUUUCUGCAUCCUCUUUUAGGUACAUGUGGGUUCAACUUCUAGAUUUAUCCAAUUUAAAGUGCCCUUAAUUUUAAUUUUCUUGGAUGAUUCAAGUAUCUGAAAAGCGAUGGUAUUGGCUUAAAGUUUUUGCUCUGGCAACAAUUAGGGAUUGGGAUGCCUUGGAAAAGUUUUCAAAGGAAAAAAAGCCACCAAUUGGUAAGUCCCCUUAGUAGCUUAACAGGAGGAAAUCACUGACUUUCCCUAAUAUUUCAACAGAAGAUCUGUAAAUGCAUUUCCCCCUGUGAUAUUUGUAAUAUGAUCUGGAUAUUUAUUAAUUUUCUCUUGAUUGAUAUGAUGGAUUGUUUUUAGGAUAUGAAUGUUAAGUUUAAUUCAAGUAGGUUUACUUUGGUUUUGCAUUCCAAGGAGCAGGAUAUUAGAUUGAACAGUUAGAACUUGAAUUAGAAAAUGUUAUAUGCGAUACAUAUUAGGGGUAUGACACCUGAUAUAGGGUUUCUGCAAGUGUGUCUCCCAUAUUAAUAGAGGUUUACUAUAAACCGUAAGGCGUCUACAAAAGUGGCUUUCCCUGCACAACUGCUAUAUGUAAUGCUGCCUCUUUGGAUAUCUGAAAAUUCUUUGCUGCUUUUAACCCCUACUUAAUUUGAUCAGUUCUUGAAGUUGAAAAAGUUAAUCAAUUUCUGAAGUAGCCUUCACUUAGAGUGGCAUUUUAGUUAGUUUGAGCUACACUUCCUCUUUAAUGGCUUGAUAUGCUUUAUUAUGUUUUUUGGUCAAACUAGAUUUUGUUGUAGCCAUGGUGAUCUCGCUUUCUUCUUCUUUUUGUCAACAAGUACAAUGUGAAAUGUAUUUCUGCUUCUUGUGACUGCCACUGAAAGAAGCACCUUGGACUUGUUCAUAGACAUUCCAAGCAAGUCCUUUUUUGACCAUAUACUAUAUGCUAACGAAGGCUAAUGGAUAUCUUAUAGUCAUCCGUUUUUCUCCUGUUUUUUCUCUUCUAGGUUACCGCCCAUUUGUCGAAGCAUGUGUUGAUGCAGAUGAGAAAGGCGAAGCACUAAAGUACAUACCAAAGCUGACUGAUCCUCGUGAAAGAGCAGAGGUUAGUGUUGUAUAUGUUAUGAUAUUUCCACAUUUGGUCUACAGACAUGUUUGACAUGGCAUGUAGUCCCGCAUAGUUUUAAGUUUGAGUUUUGAACUUUACCCACAUGUGGUCACUAUCCCUGCUGAGAUGAUUUUGCUAACAAAUGAAUUUACUAUAGAAAAAGUAGUUACUCCCUUUUCUUUUCACCUAUGCUUGUGAAAAGCUUGGGUACUUAUAUCUUUACUGGCUAGAAAAAAACAUUUAGCCUUAUACCUCUAAAAUAGAACUUGAAUUAGAAAAUGUUAUAUGCGAUACAUAUUAGGGGUAUGACACCUGAUAUAGGGUUUCUGCAAGUGUGUCUCCCAUAUUAAUAGAGGUUUACUAUAAACCGUAAGGCGUCUACAAAAGUGGCUUUCCCUGCACAACUGCUAUAUGUAAUGCUGCCUCUUUGGAUAUCUGAAAAUUCUUUGCUGCUUUUAACCCCUACUUAAUUUGAUCAGUUCUUGAAGUUGAAAAAGUUAAUCAAUUUCUGAAGUAGCCUUCACUUAGAGUGGCAUUUUAGUUAGUUUGAGCUACACUUCCUCUUUAAUGGCUUGAUAUGCUUUAUUAUGUUUUUUGGUCAAACUAGAUUUUGUUGUAGCCAUGGUGAUCUCGCUUUCUUCUUCUUUUUGUCAACAAGUACAAUGUGAAAUGUAUUUCUGCUUCUUGUGACUGCCACUGAAAGAAGCACCUUGGACUUGUUCAUAGACAUUCCAAGCAAGUCCUUUUUUGACCAUAUACUAUAUGCUAACGAAGGCUAAUGGAUAUCUUAUAGUCAUCCGUUUUUCUCCUGUUUUUUCUCUUCUAGGUUACCGCCCAUUUGUCGAAGCAUGUGUUGAUGCAGAUGAGAAAGGCGAAGCACUAAAGUACAUACCAAAGCUGACUGAUCCUCGUGAAAGAGCAGAGGUUAGUGUUGUAUAUGUUAUGAUAUUUCCACAUUUGGUCUACAGACAUGUUUGACAUGGCAUGUAGUCCCGCAUAGUUUUAAGUUUGAGUUUUGAACUUUACCCACAUGUGGUCACUAUCCCUGCUGAGAUGAUUUUGCUAACAAAUGAAUUUACUAUAGAAAAAGUAGUUACUCCCUUUUCUUUUCACCUAUGCUUGUGAAAAGCUUGGGUACUUAUAUCUUUACUGGCUAGAAAAAAACAUUUAGCCUUAUACCUCUAAAAUGCUUUGCAUUAGUCCAAAAUGAUUGCAUUUCCGUUUUGUAGCAAUGUGUUUAAAUGAAAGAAUACCUUUAUUGUUUUGUACAUAAACCCAGAAAGACAUACAAAUCUAUAUUGUACCUUUGUUGGUUCACAGUCAUCUGGCAGUAUUAUGUGACUUGUUCAAAUCCUGACUUGUGAACCAAGCUUGGUAUUUAAGCAUAGGGUAGUAGAGGGACUCACCCUUUAUCGUCCUAGUUUUUUUUAUCUUUGUACAUCGGCUUGGUUUCAAAGUUGGAAACAACAGAGUUCCUGGUUGAAGAUAAAAAAAAAGAAGGUACUUUUGUCUGUUUAUUUCAAUAAGCAAGUACGGCAUAGACUGGAUAUCAGAAGGAUGCAUAUCUUAAGAUAUCCGCAUUCACUUUUUAAUGUAAUAUUCCGGAUCACAGUCUGAUUGAUUUUAAUCCCUGUAGUAUCAUAAGUUCCUUCAUUUUCCACCCUAAAAGGAAGAGAGGAAGAGUAAACUGAUUCUGAAGUGUCAAUAGACGUAGGAUUAAAUAGUCAACUGUAAAGGUGCAUUGCUGUAUCAAUUAAGGUGAUGGGUGUCAUGCUUAUGAGAUCUAUGAAUCAUUAACAGGCUUAUGCUCGAAUCGGAAUGGCCAAGGAGGCUGCUGAUGCUGCUACUCAGGCUAAAGAUAAUGAAUUACUUGGGAGGUUGAAGCAGACUUUUUCUCAAAAUGCAGCCGCUUCAUCAAUAUUUGACACACUGCGAGAUCGGUUAUCCUUCCCAAGUGUUUCUUGAUGCCAGCCAUCUCCUUGAUCCCCUCCCUUUGGUGUGAAGCCUCUUGUUGUUACGCAUCUUCUAAAUUAAUAUGAUUGAGGAUUGGUAGCAUUGGAGUAAUGCUGUUCCACAGCACGAUAAAAGAAGCCCUUGGAACCCGUCCGCUGCAUAUCCUCUCUCCUUACCUGUUUUUUCUAUGUAUCCGUGGCAUUUGAGGUUGUGGAAAUGUUUGAAUCCGGCAAUGAUUCCUUGUGUGUUGUUCUACACCCUGUAAAUAGCUUGGCUGGAAAUGAUAUAUGAAAGCAUGUGCUGAUGUUUCUCCCUGAAUUGGUAACAACUUGCUAUUUAAAGCUAGUAUCAAGUGAUUGAUAGUUUGAUACUGAGUGGACAAUUCAUAUUGUGUUUGUGUAUCUGUACUGAGUGAUUUGAUGAGUAUCUAAUUUCUUUGUUUUAAUUUGUGUUUUUGACGCCUCAAUUCACGUAAAUAUAGUUCAUAGUCCCAGCUUAAUACGAGUUCUUUUUCAAGUUUGCAUAUUAGGUUGGAUUGCAUAUGUGAAGUAGUUUGAAAUAUGUAUGGUGGAAGUACUAUUUGAUGGUUAGUAGUAAUGUUGUGUCAUAGGAAUCAGACACCAAUGCUGAUUAUACAACUGGUUAUCUUAAUUAAUUAUCUAGUAUCCUUUUAUAAUAUAUCAGAAAUAUCUUGGGCAAUUGGAAUACCGAGUAUGAGGAAGUGUAAGAGGUUAGCUAUAGUGAGUUCGAGGAGAAGUAGAGGUAGGUUUAUCUAGUCUUUUUUUGAGCAACUUUCAUAUAUAGCAAACACAAAAAUAAUAUUUGUAUGCUAUAGCUAUAGUUUGCAUAAUUGCACUCCAUAGCAAACAUAAAUAUGUAUAUUUUGCUAUACAUAUACAAAAGAAAGCAGUUGUAUAUAAUAUGUUUUUGUUUCGGUAUAUACAUAUACAAAAGAUCAAUUGUAUAAUUUGUGUUUGUAUAAAGCAAGAAAGAGAGAAAGGCAAAAUAGAAUUGGGCAGGGGAAUAUUUGUAUUGUAUAAUUAUAAGUGUAUAGGAUGAAGAUAUAUGUAUUCGCAUGUGUAUAUACAAUUUUCUCUCGCUUUAUAUAGAUAUAAACGCAAUUUAUACAUUUCUGUUUGUAUAAGCGAGAUCUGGGAGAGGGGGGAAAGGGGAACGAAAAUAUAUGUAUAUAUACAAUUUUCUCUCGCUUUAUACANNNNNNNNNNNNNNNNNNNNNNNNNNNNNNNNNNNNNNNNNNNNNNNNNNNNNNNNNNNNNNNNNNNNNNNNNNNNNNNNNNNNNNNNNNNNNNNNNNNNNNNNNNNNNNNNNNNNNNNNNNNNNNNNNNNNNNNNNNNNNNNNNNNNNNNNNNNNNNNNNNNNNNNNNNNNNNNNNNNNNNNNNNNNNNNNNNNNNNNNNNNNNNNNNNNNNNNNNNNNNNNNNNNNNNNNNNNNNNNNNNNNNNNNNNNNNNNNNNNNNNNNNNNNNNNNNNNNNNNNNNNNNNNNNNNNNNNNNNNNNNNNNNNNNNNNNNNNNNNNNNNNNNNNNNNNNNNNNNNNNNNNNNNNNNNNNNNNNNNNNNNNNNNNNNNNNNNNNNNNNNNNNNNNNNNNNNNNNNNNNNNNNNNNNNNNNNNNNNNNNNNNNNNNNNNNNNNNNNNNNNNNNNNNNNNNNNNNNNNNNNNNNNNNNNNNNNNNNNNNNNNNNNNNNNNNNNNNNNNNNNNNNNNNNNNNNNNNNNNNNNNNNNNNNNNNNNNNGUGCACAAGUAGACACUCAAACUUGUAUAAAAUUGAACAGAUAGACACAUUCGUCCUACAUUGCACACUACAUUAGCAAUUUUACGUCCUACAUGUAUUAUGCCAUGUAGGACACGUGUGUCUACUUGUUCAAUUUUAUACAAGUUUAAGUGUCUACUUGUGCAUACUCAAAGUUGGAGGGCAUAGUUGUCCACUGAAGUCAAGUUAAAAGUCAUGUUUAUGUAUUAUGCGUAUUAUGCCCUAUUUCAUUCUCCGUUGUUUUUAGUAUGAAUUCUAUAUUUGCUUUAUAUGCCUGAUUCUUGAUAUGAUUACUUUCUACUAACGAUUCUAACAAAAAUCUGUUUUUGGGGUGCAAACAAGAGUUUGUUCUCAAAUGAUAUCAGAGGGAUUUGCAUGUAUUGUGGAAAUUCUAUUUUCUCUAUGAUUAAUAUCUUUUCGAAUUUUAAAAAGAUUUUCAAAUCUCAUAAUUUACGAUCAAGUUAUUCAACAUUUUUCUUAGAGAACAAUUUUUCACAUUUAAAUUAUGUAUUAGAUAUACUAAUAUCCUAUUUCGUUCAUCUAAAAAUGUUAAUUUGAAUCGAGGAUUUACCAAAAAUAUCGUCAAACUAAUACACUAGAAAAUGUGAAUUCAUUAAAAAUGAGGGCGUACCACAUUCGUAGGUACCCUAUUCCACUAAUAAUUUCUUCUCCAUUCAACCAACUAAUUAAAGUCGAACCUUUUUAACUAAUUAAGUUUUAUAUUUGGAAGAAGUCAGAGGUUGUCAAUUCUCUAUAUGUCCCCAUGAUUAACAAAAAACAGUUGACUAGUUUGUUGUUUUACCGCCACUUGAAAAGAAAUUGAUAAUGAAGAAACAUAUUAAAAUCCAAGACAACAAUUGGAUAAUAUAAUACUAUAUAUAUUUUGCGUUUCUCCUUACCUAUUUGUUUGUUUUAAAAAAAUAAUGAUACUAAAAAAAUAAUGAUACUAUAUAAAAAAAAUUAGUGUUAUGCUCUUAUGUUAUGUUUAAGAUAACAAGUUAUUAUUUUAUUUUAUUUAAAAAAAAAGAAGAGCAAUAUUUUAUCACUGAAGUCUAUGAUACGUAUUAUUCUUUUUGAAUCCAGGUUCAUACAAAUUUAUCUUUUGAAUUAUGUCAUAGCAGAUUCAAAAACAUGUUUAUCAUGUAAACUUAAGUCAUGAUUUGUAAACUCUUUACCUUCCUCCUAAUUUCUAAUUGGAGAUUUGCUUUUAAAAACAUCUAUAUUCUACACAUAUUUAGAAAUUUGCUAGUCCUGCUUGUCUCGACCUCAUUAACCCGCCUUCCAGGAAAAGCGUCACAUAAUUAAACAUGGCCGCAAAAAUUGAUAUGGUGGGAUUACUACAUGUGAAGGACUUGAAAAGAAACAAAACGUUUACCCACUCAAAGCCAAUAAGGUUAGCCCUUAAGUCAACCUAAUUGAAAGCUCAGCUCUAACUAAUAGGAGUAACAAAAGUUCUAUACGUUUGACUUGCUUGCUCUUUACAAUAAUAACCUACUCCCUCCGUUCACUAUUGUUUGUCAUGAUAAGAUCAUGCACAACUCUUAAGAAAAGUUUAAUAUAAGGUGCAAUUUGACUAAUAUAACCCUACUAUCAAUCAUUAUUAAAAUGGUUUGUACUUUUUGAAAAUUGUAAAAACAACUUUUUUCACAUUAAAGUAGUCUUGUAACUUUAAAAUGACUACUUUUUGAAAUAAGUAGUUAUGUAAUUAUUAAGGGCAAAUUGGAAAAAAGUGACUAAUUGUUUCUUGAUUGUUUAAAUUGACAAUUAAUUUUGGACAACUAUUUUUAGUAUACCUGACAAACAAUAGUGGAUGGAGGGAGUAUCUGUGUAGUUCUAUAAAUAUAAUAACAACAAAAUACUUAGUGAAAUCUCGCCAAAUAGAAUUUGGAAAGAGUAGAGUGUACGCAGAUUUUAUCACCAUCUUGUGUAGGUAGAGAGGUUGUUUCCGAAAGACUUUAGGCUCAAGUGCAUUAAAUUCGAGCAAAAGAAGAAAAAUAAAAUGAAGGAAGUAUAGUUGUUAAUAAGAAAAACAGUGCAAAGUCUACCAGAAAAAAAAAUAAUAAUAACAACAACAAAAUAGUGCAAUACUCGAAACACAAUAACCAACAUAUAUAUGACAAAAAUUAGCUAGUAUUACGGCCGGUGCUAAUUAACAAGCCUAAACCUAUGCACGACAAAACAACACUCCAAUACUACUAACCUUCUAUACCCAGAUGUGGAGCCAAGAUUAAGAGUUUGGGGUUCUAAAUUUUAGAACAGAAGAGAAAGGUGUUCGAACCCACAACAAAUGUGUGGAAAGCAUUUUCACCGACUGUCAAUCAAUUUUGCUAGGGGGUUCACAGGUUAAUACGCAUAUAUAUUUAUUGUUUAAUACAAAUACAAACUUUACGAGAAAUGUAGUGGGUUCGUCCGAACCCACGAAUCCACGCCUAGCUCUGCCUCUGCUUCUACCCUAUUAUGCGACAUUCACUCUUUCCUAUCUAGAAUCAUGUAUAGUUCUAAAAAUAAGGUUAAAAUAGAUCAUGAGAUACACAUCGAUGUUACAUAUACUUUUAUGAAAUUAAGAGGUUGUUUCAAACAAUUUUAAAAAAUAUAUGUCAAAAACAAUGAAAAAAAAAGGAAGAAAGACUUUGCUUGACUCUUUAUUUGUGCUAAUUAAGGAUGAUUAAUUUUUCAUCUAUUUUUUGUUGGAAUAGUCCACAUCCCUUCUAGUAGAAAAAAACACUCAACAACUUUGCAUGUUCAGACACGAUAUUAUUAAAUAAUAAUGGUGAGAAAAUGAUCUCCUUCACAACUGCCACCACAGCAAAAAGUCGUCGUGAACAUGAGAAAACUUAGAAAAAGUAGAGAAGAGUUUCAAAAAAUUAAAUAUACUCUUUAACUUCUUUUUUGGUUUCUCAUAAGUAUAUACAUUAAUUUGAAUCGACAUUGCGUAAGGCUCAUCUAAAGGUGAAACGCUCCCUAAUAAAAGAAAUUUCUUAUUCAAAACUUGAACCCGACAACUCUGAUUAAUGAUAAAAGAUCCUAUACUCCUUAUUUUUCUACAAUUUAAGAGAAGUCAGCAUGGGUGAGACUCUUUACCGCUAGCCAGGAAGGUGUCAUGUUAGAAAAUUUUUGCAUCUUUUAAUUAAUUUCUCAUUUAACUACUGAUUAAUUUGUCCUAAGUACUACUUAAUGAGACAAAUUGUCAUUAGUUAUGCAAUUAAUUGACAAAGUCCUUUUGAUUGUGAUAUACUCAUUUACCUUUAAUGACGUAAUGCCAUGACGGCUGUCUGAAUAUUCGUGGAAACAAAUAAUGUAAGAUUUUCCACUUGAUUUGAGUAUAAAUACAUGACCAAAUUAAUUAAAAUUGUAACCUCACAAGUCACAACCUUAGAAGUGUCGAAGUUUUAAGAAAGAGAGAAACAAUGACGGUACUAUUUGUACUUUUAUUUAUCUUUUCUUUAUAAGAUUAUAAGUAUAUCAAAUGUGCUUACUAGUAAAAAUCAAUCAAAAAUCACAAUUUUGUUACUUUUGGCUUAUGAUUUUACAACUUGCAAGCACUUUUAAUUUGAUAUCAACUCUUCUAAUUAUCUCUCUAUUUUGUUUCGUCCAUAAAAUAUAUUUAAAUUUAUAUUAUUAUUUUUGGAUAGCUUUAAGGAUAUCUUAGUCAUCUUAACAGAUUUAAGUGUUUAUCAACACCUUUUAACAAAACACACUAACAAGUUUAUUACUAUAUCUACAACUAUUCUACACCUUUUUCUAAUCAUGCAACUAUUUAUUUAUAAAAUCGAUUACUAACACCUGAAAAUGCUUUUCAGUGCUACGUUUUUAUGUGAAUCCAUUAUUUUUAAUCUGCUAACCCAAACCAACCAAUGAUUAAUUAGUAUAAUUAUUGAUAAUUUAUAAUUAAAUGCAGAUAAAGGUAGUUGUUGAUGUGUCUGUGAAUGGAUGUCAACCUCGACCAACUUUGAAGAAUUGUAUUUUAGGAUGGUUGAAGCCAAUGGUACCAUGCUUAUUUAAACAAACUUCUUGCAAAAAUAAAGUCAUGACUAUAGCAGCAACUUUACCAGGUACGUAUAACAAUAUUAUAUACUAUAUUACUAGUAUCAAAACCUUUAUACAUACGUAGAUUAUUGUAUAAUAAGUAUACAUAAUUUAUUAUAACAUUGUAUACAUGUUUUGUAAACUAGACAGUCCAAAAAUAUUGGAACAUAUUUUUUUCAUGUGUCACUUAACAUUAGAGAGCUCUUUUUUAUUUUUAAAGUCAAAGAACUAUUAUUAUAUCACAGGAUAAAAUUUAGUGAUCAUACAAGAUACGAUGAAAUAAAUGGUGUGGUAGAUAUAAUUAACUAGACAUGACAUGAUUUAUUCAUGUUUGCAGGAGUGGUGAACGUAAGUUUAGAUGAAGAAAAGAAAUUACUGACAGUGAUUGGAGAGGGAAUAGAUGCAGUGGAGCUGGUUAAUAUAAUUAGGAAAAAAGUGGGAUUUGCUAAUAUAGUGAACCAAGGUCCAGUGCCAGUUGAGAAAAAAGAAGAAAAAGAAAAGAUAAAAGUUGAUCCACCAGUGGUUAAUUCAUGUAAUUGUCAUAGUAAUUAUAAUAAUAGGGUAAUUCCAAGCUGGGUUGAAAUGUACGAAGUUCCUUAUAAUAACCACUCAUGUUUUCCAUUUUGAUGAUGAGACUUCUUUGAGGAAAAAUAAGAAGAAUUAUAGUAUUCUUUUUGUUUCAUUUCAUGUAAUACAAUAUUAUUAUUUGGAGAGUUAAACACAUUUUCUGUU